CGAGGAGCGUGCCGAGCCCGUGCGCGGCGCGCCCCCACCAAUGGCAGGCGGGGGAGGGCGGGGCGCGCGGCGGCUGCAGGGGGACGUGAGGCCCGUGAGGUCCGUGCGGCGGUGGCGGGCGCUGGGCGGGAGGCGCGUGAGAUAAAAAAAGGAUAGCAUCCUACCCAAGCUCUGCUCGCCUUCCUGACUGAACCAUGAGAAGCUCCCUGCCUGGAACUGAGCAGACAGCUACAGCUCAAACACAAGAAUGAAAUCUGCCUUCAUGCUUUUACGUCACAGUUCUCCUUAGCAAAAGAGAGUUAGCCUCCUAGGCUACACCUGCUAAUCAACAUGGAGUUCGUAAUAUUGACUCUCGCUUCUGACAAAGUCUCCAGUCUCUAACAUUGAAGCAAACAUGCAAGCUGUUCAGCUGUUACUGUUUUCCUAGGGUCUGUUUGACCAGCACCAUCUCCACAUUUGGCUCUGCUCUGAGGAAUCCUCCCUCCCAGCCUGUAUCAUGCAGCUUCUCCUAGAAGUCACUUACAGCCUGUCUUUAUAGAUAGAGCACUGGGCUAAGAAAUCCAUGGAUGCUUUCACCUGAGUACCCAGGACAUGACCGGAGUGAUUUAGCAGUCUUUAGCUGUGCUAAACAAGACUGGAACAGUUUUUAAGAACUUGCUCACUUACUAUGAGAAUGGCUACAAAGCAGGCCAGCGUAGUAUUCCAGUCUCCACUAGGUGUGGCAGCUGCUUUCCCAACCAGCACACUGUAAAAUAUGAAGUCUC